GCUAGUGAGGUAUAGUGAUUUGAGUGCUGGACUACGAAUCUGGAAGCCAGGGUUCGAAUCCCUGCUCAGCC